UCUCGGUGGUCGUCGGAAGGUCUCUGGGACUUGGGUAGAACAGUUGGGGGCUCUUCCGGGAUCCCCUGAGGUUCCCUG
rnacentral:miRNA from 1 species